rnacentral:misc_RNA from 1 species
GAUGAAGAACGUAGCGAAAUGCGAUAAGUAAUGUGAAUUGCAGAAUUCAGUGAAUCAUCGAAUCUUUGAUCGCACAUUGCGCCCGCCAGUAUUCUGGCGGGCAUGCCUGUUCGAGCGUCAUUUCAACCAUCAAGCCCCCGGCUUGUGUUGGGGACCUGCGGCUGCCGCAGGCCCUGAAAUGCAGUGGCGGGCUCGCUGUCACUCCGAGCGUAGUAGUUACAUCUCGCUCUGGGCGUGCUGCGGGUUCCGGCCGUUAAAAGCCUUAUUUACCCAAGGUUGACCUCGGAUCAGGUAGGAAGACCCGCUGAACUUAAGCAUAUCAAUAAGCGGAGGA